rnacentral:ncRNA from 2 species
AUAAUCGAAAGCCGUCGAGGUUCUCCGGAUCCCGCUUGAUCCGGAGCUAAGAGGGAAGCCGGUGCGAUGCCGGCGCUGCCCCCGCAACUGUAAGCGGCGAGCCGCUGUCCAACUCAGGUCACUGAAGCCCAUACAGCUUCGGGAAGGCCGGACAGCGACAUUGACCCGCGAGCCAGGAGACCUGCCCCGACGAAAUAUUCGUC